rnacentral:lncRNA from 1 species
AAUAUUUUUAAUGCGUUAAGUCCGAACAGAUAUCGUUUACAAAAGAAUCACGCCACUUAAGAAGUGUCAUGCCAAAAUGGGUUGACAUAAGAUGAUGAGAGCAACGAUCUAGCUCGUGUUCUACCUCAUUUCUACUUCUCCUAAUCCAUAACACCGUGAAAGUAAAGAGGGUCUUCGUGUAACAAGCAUAUGCAAGCUGCAAUAGUAAUCGUGAAAUCCGAGAGAUCUGUGUCAUGUCUAUUCGCCGCCAAGGUCAUCAAUUGAGUAUCUGUCUCAAAUAUGCAACGCUCGUAUCUCAUGUCCCAAUGGGUGUCAACAAAGCCUCGCCUUCCUUCCGCCUCCUGCGGUGGGAGGGGACUCAUCAAAUUUAGCCACCAGAACCAGUAAUCUAACUGGCCACCAGAACCAUCAAAGUCCGAAAUGUAAGACUUACUUCCCAAGUCUUGGUACUGUUGCUUGGUACUUAGCUAGUUGACUGCUGCUUUGGACGUUGUAUGUUGAGUAUUCGCAUGUGUCCACUAAAAGUCGACGGAUGUCCUUGAAGAAAGAGCAAGUCUGUGUCGUAUCCAAAUCCAAUUGCCAUCAGUAGUGUGCACGCAUGUACAAUUGUCUUCAUCUGGACUUCCCAUGUGACCCAUGUCAACCCGUACCAUACGUACGUUUUUCAUUUGGACUUCCAAUAAGAUAUUUGCUGGC